rnacentral:rRNA from 1 species
GAUGAACGCUGGCGGCGUGCCUAAUACAUGCAAGUCGAGCGAACGGACGAGAAGCUUGCUUCUCUGAUGUUAGCGGCGGACGGGUGAGUAACACGUGGAUAACCUACCUAUAAGACUGGGAUAACUUCGGGAAACCGGAGCUAAUACCGGAUGAUAUUUUGAACCGCAUGGUUCAAAAGUGAAAGACGGUCUUGCUGUCACUUAUAGAUGGAUCCGCGCUGCAUUAGCUAGUUGGUAAGGUAACGGCUUACCAAGGCAACGAUGCAUAGCCGACCUGAGAGGCUGAUCGGCCACACUGGAACUGAGACACGGUCCAGACUCCUACGGGAGGCAGCAGUAGGGAAUCUUCCGCAAUGGGCGAAAGCCUGACGGAGCAACGCCGCGUGAGUGAUGAAGGUCUUCGGAUCGGAAAACUCUGUUAUUAGGGAAGAACAUAGGUGUAAGUAACUGUGCACAUCUUGACGGUACCUAAUCAGAAAGCCACGGCUAACUACGUG